AGAGGCAAGUGAUCUAGUUGUAACGUCAUCUCAUUGAUCUCUAGUGUAGAUUUGGCAGAUCUGGUUGGCUACAUGGGUAUCCCCGUCCUACCUCACUGCUCCAUGUGUUUCAAAGCUGCACACUCAGUGGAAGAGGACAUCCGUCCCAGAUCUUCCAUUAAGGUUAUAUUAUAGCUGCACUCCCUGCUAGAGUCUCCAAACAAGCUCAAGGUCCAAGUCACCAAAAUAUAACCACAAUCAUUCUUUGACAUACAGUAUAUCAUGGGACACGGUGGCU
rnacentral:snRNA from 1 species